GGACUACCAGGGUUUCUAAUCCUGUUUGCUCCCCACGCUUUCGUGCAUCAACGUCAGGUAUGAGCCAAGAAGCUGCCUUCGCCAUCGGUGUUCCUUCUGAGAUCUACGCAUUUGACCGCUACUCCAGAAAUUCCACUUCUCUCUCUCACCCUCUAGUCUAUCAGUUUCGGCCGCCCUUCUCCAGUUAAGCUAGAGUAUUAAACAACCGACUUAAUAAACCGUCUACGCACCCUUUACGCCCAAUGAUUCCGAAUAACGCUUGCACCCCUCGUAUUACCGCGGCUGCUGGCAC
rnacentral:rRNA from 1 species